AUUCACUAAUAUCGCAGAAGGAAAAGAUCUCGCCUCUUUUCCUUUACAUUUGCUUCUUCUCCUUCCUACUUUUUUUAAACUACUUCUACAUCUUUGAUCUUCUUAGCUCUUGUUUUCUCCUCGUACUCUCUUCAUAUUUUUGUUUCUUCUAAAUCAGUGGCAGCUAUGACCGAGAAUCUCCCUCAACUCAAUCCGCCUUUGAUGAACUUACAGUGUGAGUGAGAAUGCGAGAAAUAGACUCAUCAGCCUCGUUCAAAGCAACCUCACUUGAAGGUGGUAUAGGCUGGUCGGAGAUCGUCGUUGAUGUCACCGUCACAGCCACUUGAGUGGCAGCUCAUAUCUUUGUCAAAACCCUACCAUUUGAUUGGGUUGGGCUUUUGUUAAUUGUAUUUUGGGCUUUUGAUUGUAUUUGUAAUGUGUU